rnacentral:rRNA from 1 species
UACGUAGGGGGCAAGCGUUGUUCGGAAUUACUGGGCGUAAAGCGCGCGUAGGCGGUUUGAAAAGUCAGAUGUGAAAGCCCCGGGCUCAACUUGGGAACUGCAUUUGAUACUGUCAGACUAGAGUACAGAAGAGGUGACUGGAAUUCCCAGUGUAGCGGUGAAAUGCGUAGAUAUUGGGAGGAACACCAGAUGCGAAGGCGGGUCACUGGGCUGAUACUGACGCUGAAGUGCGAAAGCCAGGGGAGCGAACGGGAUUAGAUACCCCGGUAGUCCUGGCCCUAAACGAUGGAUACUUGGUGUAUGGGGUUUUAAGUCCCCGUGUGCCGGAGCUAACGCGUUAAGUAUCCCGCCUGGGGAGUACGGUCGCAAGGCUGAA